rnacentral:misc_RNA from 1 species
AAAUUUUUCAAAAAAAUUUGCGUACCAUUACAGCCUAUUUCCCUUACGUGCUUUAAAACCAUGAUAUGUAAGCUAAAAGUAUAGGAAACUUAAUUAAACAGUAGGAAAUUAAUUAAAAUUUUGCCAGUAUUAAUUUUAAUUAUUAAUUUUGUGAACUUUAUUAAAUAAUAUUUUGUAUUAUGAUGAGUAAGCUAAAAAUAUCCAUAUAAUUUGUUGUGUGGUAUUUUGUAUAAUACAGCAUUGUAGUGUAUUUUGCAUUCAUACUUAUACCUUAAACAGCAUUUUGUCUUAUAAAAAAGUUGCAUUGGUAACGGCCAUUAUCAUGCCAUUACCAAUACGAUAAUGGCUGUGAUGCUCUUUUUUGGCGGCCUUUUUAGAAAAUAGAAUAUUUCAGGAUUUUUACUGAAUUUUCAGUAGCAUAUCUUCAUCCAUUUAUAAUGACAUCGGUGACAUUAGAUAAAGUUCAUCAAAAUUGAAACCCAAAAAAGAAACUACUUGUUUA